rnacentral:rRNA from 1 species
GACGAACGCUGGCGGCGUGCUUAACACAUGCAAGUCGAACGAUGAACUUGGCAGCUUGCUGCUGGGGGAUUAGUGGCGAACGGGUGAGUAACACGCGAGUAACCUGCCCUGGACUCUGGGAUAAGCGCUGGAAACGGCGUCUAAUACCGGAUAGGACCUUCCCUCGCAUGGGGGUUGGUGGAAAGUUUUUUCGGUUUGGGAUGGACUCGCGGCCUGUCAGCAUGUUGGUGAGGUAAUGGCUCACCAAGGCGUCGACGGGUAGCCGGCCUGAGGGGGUGACCGGCCACACUGGGACUGAGACACGGCCCAGACUCCUACGGGAGGCAGCAGUGGGGAAUAUUGCACAAUGGGCGAAAGCCUGAUGCAGCAACGCCGCGUGGGGGAUGACGGCCUUCGGGUUGUAAACCUCUUUUAGUAGGGAAGAAGGGCUUCGGCUUGACGGUACCUGCAGAAAAAGCACCGGCUAACUACGUGCCAGCCGCCGCAGUAACAC